rnacentral:rRNA from 1 species
GAUCAUGGCUCAGGAUGAACGCUAGCGGCAGGCUUAACACAUGCAGGUCGAGGGGUAUAGUUCUUCGGAAUUAGAGACCGGCGCACGGGUGCGUAACGCGUAUGCAAUCUACCUUUUGCAGAGGGAUAGCCCAGAGAAUUUGGAUUAAUACCUCAUAGUAUAGUACUUUGGCAUCAAGGAACUAUUAAAGUUCCAACGGUGAAAGAUGAGCAUGCGUCCCAUUAGCUAGAUGGUAAGGUAACGGCUUACCAUGGCUACGAUGGGUAGGGGUCCUGAGAGGGAGAUCCCCCACACUGGUACUGAGACACGGACCAGACUCCUACGGGAGGCAGCAGUGAGGAAUAUUGGUCAAUGGACGCAAGUCUGAACCAGCCAUGCCGCGUGCAGGAUGACGGUCCUAUGGAUUGUAAACUGCUUUUGUACGGGAAGAAACAACAUUACGUGUAAUGUCUUGACGGUAUCGUAAGAAUAAGGAUCGGCUAACUCCGUG